CACCAUCAGAGACUCACUUUCCAAAUCAAACCCGCCAACCAGCACAACAAAGGAAACCACACACACAUGGUUUAUAGCUCUGGUUUCCAGUGGUGUUGGUGUCAUUUUGACUGCACUCAUCUGUCUGUGCUGCUUUGCAUGUAA